UACGGAGGAGGCAAGCGUUAUCCGGAAUCAUUGGGCGUAAAGCGUCAGUAGGUGGCCAAGUAAGUCUGCUGUCAAAGACCACAGCUUAACUGUGGAAAGGCAGUGGAAACUGCAGGGCUAGAGUACGGUAGGGGUAGAGGGAAUUCCAGGUGUAGCGGUGAAAUGCGUAGAGCUCUGGAAGAACACCGGUGGCGAAAGCGCUCUACUGGGCCGAAACUGACACUGAGGGACGAAAGCUAGGGGAGCGAAAGGG
rnacentral:rRNA from 1 species